rnacentral:misc_RNA from 1 species
CUUCCCCUUCCAAAAGAUCCCAUUGCAGGCAAAUAACCUGGUUGAGGCCCAACUCUGUUGCCAUCUCCUUGGGGAUUAAUGCUAACUGGCAAAUUAGCAGAAGAAACUGGGGUUUUUAAAGCAAUGUUUGGUGUCAUGAAUUGUUGGUAGAAAGGUGGAUCUGAGUUUGGUAAAUCUUGGACGUUGUAUAGCUGACCAUGACAAUUUAUAGGAGGGGGUGUUGUUGUGGAUGAGGAAAAUGACCUUUGUGGCAUUUCAGGAGUGUAACCAUGGCCAUGAAAUGGAAGUGAUGAAGGGUCUUUGUAGAUACCAUAAGAAC